rnacentral:rRNA from 1 species
CACAGCGAAAGGUGCUUGCACCUUUCAAAUGAGUGGCGAACGGGUGAGUAACACGUGGACAACCUGCCUCAAGGUUGGGGAUAACAUUUGGAAACAGAUGCUAAUACCGAAUAAAACUUAGUGUCGCAUGACACAAAGUUAAAAGGCGCUUCGGCGUCACCUAGAGAUGGAUCCGCGGUGCAUUAGUUAGUUGGUGGGGUAAAGGCCUACCAAGACAAUGAUGCAUAGCCGAGUUGAGAGACUGAUCGGCCACAUUGGGACUGAGACACGGCCCAAACUCCUACGGGAGGCUGCAGUAGGGAAUCUUCCACAAUGGGCGAAAGCCUGAUGGAGCAACGCCGCGUGUGUGAUGAAGGCUUUCGGGUCGUAAAGCACUGUUGUAUGGGAAGAACAGCUAGAAUAGGAAAUGAUUUUAGUUUGACGGUACCAUACCAGAAAGGGACGGCUAAAUACGUGCCAGCAGCCGCGGUAAUACGUAUGUCCCGAGCGUUAUCCGGAUUUAUUGGGCGUAAAGCGAGCGCAGACGGUUUAUUAAGUCUGAUGUGAAAGCCCGGAGCUCAACUCCGGAAUGGCAUGGAAACUG